rnacentral:ncRNA from 1 species
CCGGCUCCGGUUCACCUCGUGACACGGCGUCACGGGGAUCCGGCGGCC